UGUGGGAAGUAGGGUGAUCCUAUGCUGCCGAGAAAAACUUCUAGCGAGGUUCGAGCCGCCCGUACCCCAAACCGACUCAGGUGGUUAGGUAGAGAAUACCAAGGCGAUCGAGUGAAUCAUGGUUAAGGAAUUCGGCAAAAUGCCCCCGUAACUUCGGGAGAAGGGGGGCCCACUGCCCUGAGACUCUUUACGAGUUAGGGGUGGGGGCCGCAGAGACCAGGGAGAAGCGACUGUUUACUAAAAACACAGGUCCGUGCGAAGAAGUAAUUCGAGGUAUACGGACUGACGCCUGCCCGGUGCUGGAACGUUAAGGGGACCGGUUAACACCUUUGGUGUGAAGCUGAGAACUUAAGCGCCAGUAAACGGCGGUGGUAACUAUAACCAUCCUAAGGUAGCGAAAUUCCUUGUCGGGUAAGUUCCGACCUGCACGAAUGGCGUAACGACUUCUCCACUGUCUCAACCAUGAACUCGGCGAAAUUGCAUUACGAGUAAAGAUGCUCGUUACGCGCAGCAGGACGGAAAGACCCCGGGACCUUUACUACAGCUUGGUAUUGGUGUUCGGUGCGGCUUGUGUAGGAUAGGUGGGAGACUGUGAAGCGCACGCGCCAGCGUGUGUGGAGUCAUUGUUGAAAUACCACUCUGGUCGUUCUGGGCUCCUAACUUCGGACCAUGAUCUGGUUCAGGGACAGUGCCUGGUGGGUAGUUUAACUGGGGCGGUUGCCUCCAAAAGGGUAACGGAGGCGCCCAAAGGUUCCCUCAGCCUGGUUGGUAAUCAGGUUUCGAGUGUAAGUGCACAAGGGAGCUUGACUGUGAGACAGACAUGUCGAGCAGAGACGAAAGUCGGGACUAGUGACCCGACGGUGGCUUGUGGAAGCGCCGUCGCUCAACGGAUAAAAGGUACCCCGGGGAUAACAGGCUGAUCUUGCCCAAGAGCUCAUAUCGACGGCAUGGUUUGGCACCUCGAUGUCGGCUCGUCGCAUCCUGGGGCUGGAGUAGGUCCCAAGGGUUGGGCUGUUCGCCCAUUAAAGCGGUACGCGAGCUGGGUUUAGAACGUCGUGAGACAGUUCGGUCCCCAUCCGCUGCGCGCGGAGGAAACUUGAGAAGACCUGUCCCUAGUACGAGAGGACCGGGAUGGACGAACCACUGGUGUGUCAGUUGUACUGCCAAGUGCACCGCUGAUUGGCUACGUUCGGAAGUGAUAACCGCUGAAAGCAUCUAAGCGGGAAGCACGCUUCAAGAUGAGGUUUCUAACAGGUUUAGGCCUGGUGAGGCUCCCAGUAGAUUACUGGGUUGAUAGGCCGGACGUGGAAGCACAGUAAUGUGUGGAGCUGACCGGUACUAAUAAGCCGAUAAC
rnacentral:rRNA from 1 species